AAACGCUUGAAGUCAGUCGCGUUGGCUGGGGAUCAACCUUGCUUUUUGUGGGGUGUAUUUCCUAGUUGACGGGUCAGCAUCAGUUUUGACCACUGGAAAAAGGCUGGGGGAAUGUGGCAGCUCCGGCUGUGUUAUAG
rnacentral:rRNA from 1 species